UACGUAGGUGGCAAGCGUUGUCCGGAUUUACUGGGCGUAAAGGGAACGUAGGCGGACUUUUAAGUGAGAUGUGAAAUACCCGGGCUCAACUUGGGUGCUGCAUUUCAAACUGGAAGUCUAGAGUGCAGGAGAGGAGAAUGGAAUUCCUAGUGUAGCGGUGAAAUGCGUAGAGAUUAGGAAGAACACCAGUGGCGAAGGCGAUUCUCUGGACUGUAACUGACACUGAGGCACGAAAGCGUGGGGAGCAAACAGGAUUAGAUACCCCUGUA
rnacentral:rRNA from 1 species